UACGUAGGGUGCAGGCGUUAAUCGGAAUUACUGGGCGUAAAGCGUGCGCAGGCGGUCUGCUAAGAGAGGUGUGAAAUCCCCGGGCUUAACCUGGGAACUGCGCUUCUAACUGGCAGGCUUGAGUGUGGCAGAGGGGGGUGGAAUUCCACGUGUAGCAGUGAAAUGCGUAGAUAUCUGGAGGAACACCGGUGGCGAAGGCGGCAUCCUGGACCGGCAUUGACGCUGAUGAGCGAAAGCUAGGGGAGCAAACGGG
rnacentral:rRNA from 1 species